rnacentral:rRNA from 1 species
GACGAACGCUGGCGGCGUGCUUAACACAUGCAAGUCGAGCGGUAAGGCCCUUCGGGUACGACGAGCGGCGAACGGGUGAGUAACACGUGGGUGACCUGCCUCUAGCUCUGGGAUAAGCCUGGGAAACUGGGUCUAAUACCGGAUAUGACUCCACGGCGCAUGUUGUGGGGUGGAAAGCCUUGUGUGGCUAGAGAUGGGCCCGCGGCCUAUCAGCUUGUUGGUGGGGUGANGGCCCUACCAAGGCGACGACGGGUAGCCGGCCUGAGAGGGCGACCGGCACACUGGGACUGAGACACGGCCCAGACUCCUACGGGAGGCAGCAGUGGGGAAUCUUGCGCAAUGGGCGAAAGCCUGACGCAGCGACGCCGCGUGAGGGAUGACGGCCU